UACGUAGGGUGCGAGCGUUAAUCGGAAUUACUGGGCGUAAAGCGUGCGUAGGCGGUUCGUCAAGUCUGAUGUGAAAGCCCCGGGCUCAACCUGGGAACUGCAUUGGAAACUAGCGAGCUUGAGUGUGGCAGAGGGGGGUGGAAUUCCACGUGUAGCAGUGAAAUGCGUAGAUAUGCGGAGGAACACCGAUGGCGAAGGCAAUCCCCUGGGCCUGCACUGACGCUCAUGCACGAAAGCGUGGGGAGCAAACAGG
rnacentral:rRNA from 1 species